GGAUCUUGAAGAGCGGCGUACGGGUGCGGAACACGUGUGCACUGCCUUAUCUGGGGGAUAGCUUUCGAANGGAAGAAUAUUACCCCAUAUAUUGUAAGUUGGUCUUUCAGNUUUAAGAAACUCCCGGNGGAUAGAAGAUGGCACGCGCAAGAUUAGAUAGUUGGUGAGGUAACGGUCACCAAGUCUACGAUCUUUAGGGGCCUGAGAGGGUGAUCCCCCAACUGGUACUGAGACACGGACCAGACUCCUACGGGAGGCAGCAGUGAGGAAUAUUGGACAAUGGGUGAGAGCCUGAUCCAGCCAUCCCGCGUGAAGGACGACUGCCCUAUGGGUUGUAAACUUCUUUUGUAUAGGGAUAAAACCUACCCUCGUGAGGGUAGCUGAAGGUACUAUACGAAUAACACCGGCUAACUCCGUGCCACAGCCGGGUAAUACGGACGGGUGCAACGUCAUCCGGAUUCACUGGGUUACCGGUCCGAGCGGAUCUGAUCUGUAACUCAGUUUAAUUGUGAAAUUGCCAUUGAUACUGGAGGUCUUGAGUGUUGUGGAAGUAGCUGGGAAUAAAUAUUGUAGCGGGGAAUGGUUAAUUUUAAUUUGAAA
rnacentral:rRNA from 1 species